GCUUUUAGAAGACUAAUUUAACUGGAGAACUUAAUUUUCACCAAUAUUCGAAAUGAUUUUGAAUAAAAAAUUGGCUUCGUUAAAUGUAAGGAGAUAUUAAGAAGUUUUAAUUCAUGUUUACAUGAAAUAGUGUUUCAUUCUAAAGCACUUUUUACGAAUGUGUUCUUUAAACUUUCAAACUCAACGACAGCGAUUAAAGAAAUGCUUGGGAAUUAUCAAAUAUUUGUGAUUUAAGUAAUCAAUGUUUUUUUAUAUCCUCCAAGAAACAAAGAACAGUGCGAAAAACAAAACACGGACCACCCUGAAUAACUUUUGAUCUAAUGAUCGGAUCUUCACUCUCUAGGACUUAAUGGUUUGAGGAGGUGACUGGAAAAAUACUAAUUAAUUAAUGCAGACGAUAUUUUAAGUUACGACAUCAGUCGCAAAAACUAACUUUACAUUUCCUGUGAAAUCGAAUUUUAAAAAAGUCAGAUAUUUAAAAUUCGAUUUCCCAGGAAUAACUCGAUCUUUUUUGCAUCGAUUUUUCCGAGCAUCAGACGUAAGUCUUAUUAACUCUCGGCAGAGGCAUGUAGGUUGACGGGCCCGCGAAGGAUUCGCAUCAGAUUUGAAAAAUGUGUUUUGUUUGAACUUUGUUUAUUUAUUUAACUAAUGUUAAAAGUAGUUGCCAUGAAUCGCAACAAACUGGUGUUUUUUUUUUUUUUGUAUCGCACUACUCACUGCACUACUUCUUUUAAAAGUAGCUACAAACUAUGGAGAAAAGUAGCGACUACUGUAGUUUCGUUGCUUGUAGCGUGCUACUUCCAACCAUUGCGUAGACGAGAAUCAUUAAAUACCUGUCAAGGACGAUUUUACAGCGUUUGCAGAGUAAAAUAAUUUUCUCAUGUAAAAGUUGUUCUAGUUUACAAAGAAGUGGGAGCUAGGUCUAGUGAGUAUAGAAAAUGACGGAGAAGUUCCAAUUUCUAUAGUUUUUCCAUUUGUGCAAUGUGCGGUUCGGCAA